CGGGGGGCCGGGCUUCUCGGGCUUGCGUAAGGCUCAUGCCCGAAGCAGGUCGAAUAGUUCCGGCCGCCGGUCCAAUCCCGCCACGGUGCUCUUUACCGGGUGUCGAGAGGUGGGCCGGCACGUUUACUUUGAACAAAUUAGAGUGCUUAAAGCAGGCUGGUGUCCGCCUGAAUACUGUA
rnacentral:rRNA from 1 species